CCUACGGGAGGCAGCAGUGAGGAAUAUUGGUCAAUGGGCUUACGCCUGAACCAGCCAAGUCGCGUGAGGGAAGACUGCCCUAUGGGUUGUAAACCUCUUUUGUCAGGGAGCAAUUGGCGCUACGUGUAGCGUUAUCGAGAGUACCUGAAGAAAAAGCAUCGGCUAACUCCGUGCCAGCAGCCGCGGUAAUACGGAGGAUGCGAGCGUUAUCCGGAUUUAUUGGGUUUAAAGGGUGCGUAGGCGGAAUGCCAAGUCAGCGGGAAAAUCGCGGGGCUCAACCUCGCUCCGCCGUUGAAACUGGCGUUCUUGAGUGGGCGAGAAGUACGCGGAAUGCGUGGUGUAGCGGUGAAAUGCAGAGAUAUCACGCAGAACUCCGAUUGCGAAGGCAGCAUACCGGCGCCCAACUGACGCUGAAGCACGAAAGCGUGGGUAUCGAACAGGAUUAGAUACCCCAGUAGUC
rnacentral:rRNA from 1 species